rnacentral:lncRNA from 1 species
UUUGAGAUGCGGGAGGAGUGCCUGCGGGAGUUCGGGUUCACGGACGUGUACAGGUGUGUAUUUGUGGAGGGGGGGGGUGGGCUUGGGGUUCACGGACGUGUGCAGGCGUGUGUGUGGAGGAGCGCCUGAGGGAGUUUGGGUUUACGGACGUGUAUGGGUGGGCGUGUAUGGAGGGGUGGGUGGGCGUGUGCAUGAGUGUAUGGGUGCAUAUGCAAUAGGUGUGCGUCAGCUCAAUUAUGGUUCCCAGGUUCCCAGUUGUGGAAGCUGUUGGGCUCUGAGCCAUGGCGGGGUCGGUGUGAGGGCACCCACCUCAUUCUUCCGCCUCCUCCUUUCCCCAGUUUGGGCUGGUAUCUACACCCGCCCAGUCGGCACUUCAUACUGGCGAUUUGAUCGCUCCGCUCUCCACAUGAACGGCUACCCCUCUCAAUCCACUUCCAUCUUUGCUACAUACCGUUCGCAUGCAUGGCUACGUCACACACCCCUACUUCGCUACACUUCUCUGUACCAAUCUUUGCAACCCCCAAAAAAACUCACAGGCUGGAGAAGCAGCGCGAGAACGCGGCGGCCCUGGCGGCGCUGCCCGACCUGCUGCGCGAGCUGGACUCGGAGCAGCCGCUGCCUGCCCGGCUGCUGUGCCUGGUGGAGGGCGUGCUAGCAGCCAACAUCUUUGACUGGGGCAGCCAGGCGUGCGUGGCACUGUACCGGGACGGAACCAUCCUGGACAUCUACAGGUGUGGGCGAAGCGUGGGUUGGCUGGGUGAUGUUCUUGACUGGCUCAGCAAGUGCAAAUGCUUGGGUUCUUGGCGCUUGAUCUAAGAACAGAUCCCGUACGAUUGUGUACGGGUUGUCACGCCACCUCAUUGUGUUUUGGGCCCCGCCGACAACCGCCUCUCAACCGCCUCUCCUGCAGAGCGGCGCGGGACCGGCUGGGCAAGCGGCCCUGGGCCCUGGACAACUUCGACGCCUUCGCGGCGCGCAUCAUGUCGGCAGUGGGCGACGGUGAGGGGAGGGUGUGGGGGGUUGCAAAGAUUGUGAAGAUGGUUCGAGAAGCGGACGGGGGAGAGAAGGGCGGGUGGAGUUAAGGCGAAAAGCGGGCACGGCACGCAGCGGCAACUUGGCACGCUGCGUGGGCGCGGCUCAUCGUGACCGGCUGCUGGGUGGCUGGGGACCCAGAGCUCCGAGGCUGAGGCUGCGGGUGUGAUGGACCGUUUGUACGUGCGUCUUCCCGCCCCUACAACGGUCCUGCCAGCGCCCGCCUCGCCCUUUCUCACUGCACGCCACGAACUCCACACCUGGCAUUCCCGACUCGCCUCUUCGCCUUUCCUCCUCCUGCCGAUUCCCCACCUAACGCCCCCAACCCCUCUCAACACUUGUAUGCCUGCCCGCCUGGCUUCCCUCGCAGGCCCCACGCCGCUGCGGCCGCCCUACCGGCGCGUGAUGAUGUUUGUGGACAACAGCGGCGCCGACAUCGUGCUGGGCAUGCUGCCGUUCGCGCGGGAGCUGCUGCGCCUGGGCUGCGAGGUAGUGCUGGUGGCCAACAGGUGUGUGUGGGGGGGGGGGGGAGAAAGGGGUGGGCGGGAAGCGGGAGAUAGGGGGAGAGGGGGGUCGGGAGAGGGAGAUAGGGGGAAAGGGGGGUCGGGAGAGGGAGAUUGGGGGGAAAGGGAGGUCGGGAAGAGGGAGGGGGAAUGGGGGAUGGGGAAUGGGGGCGGGGCGGGGCCGCGGCGGGGGGCGGGGGUUAGAUACCAGCCCAAACUAAACCGAACCCAAUGCAAUAGAGCAAGGAUGGGGGUGGGGCUGCAUUUUCCGCUGUUCCACUGAUCCGCUGUUCCACUGAUCCCGAGGUGCUCGUAGCCUGUUUCCAUGGUCUUGCCUUAACCCAUCUGCCCGCCACCCCCACCCGCCCCUCAGCCUGCCCGCCAUCAACGACAUAACGGCGCCCGAGCUGCGCUCCCUGCUGGCGGCCGCGGCGGAGAGCUGCCCGCUGCUCAAGGCGGCGCGCGAGGCGGCCGUCAAGGUGCGUGUGUGGGGAUGAUACCUGACUGCGGGCGGCGGCCGCGCGGCAGCGGCUGGUGACUGGGGCCGAGUUGUGUGAUGUGCAGACGCUGUGCACUUGCGUAUGCUUGUGGGCACUUGCGUAUGUUUGUUGAUCACAUCAGAAACAGACUUAUGAGUGUCUGUCGCGUCCAUUGCUGAAGUCCCGCUCGCCCGCACCACCGCUGUGCGCAGGUGGAGAUGGCGACGGGGGGCCACGUGCCGCCCUACCCCGGCCUGCGCCCCGCCCGCCGCUCCAGCCCCAACCUCCUCCACCUACACCAGCAGCACCACCACCACCACCAACACCACCAACACCAGCAGGCGGCUGCAGCAGCGGCCGCCGCGGGCGGCCGCGCCAGCCACGAACGCUGCGCGGCCGCGGCCGCAUCCCCCUCCACCUCUGGACAGGAGCACCCAGCAACGCAGGUGCCUGCCGCGGUGGACGCGGCCCCCGCCUCUCCGCCAAGCGCCUCCGCCUCCGUGCCUGUUUCAGCAGCCGCAGCCCCCCAACCAGCAGCCGAUGCAGUCGGCUCUGGGCCCGGGCAGGGGCCGGCGGCAGGGCCUGGGCCAGGGUCCGCAACAGCAGCAGCAGCGGCGGCCCAAUCAGGCUCGGCGGGUCAGGCGGCGGGUCAGGCGGCAGCAGCAGGUGGCGGCCGCGGCGGCCAAGGGGGCCCACUGGGGGGUAGCUCGCCGCGGUGGCAUGCGGCCGCUGUGGACCCCGCUGUGAACCGGCCCGGGCCCAAGCUGUAUGUGGUGGCCAACGGGCAGGGCAGCCCCUGCCUGGACCUGAGGCGCAUACCUGACAAGCUGGCGGAGGUGGGGGGAUGGCUGGGGGUGGGGAUUUGAGACGGGGGAUUGGGGACGUGGAUUUAGCGGGGGACGUACAGGACCAAGAGGGAAGCAAGUGGCAAAAAGCACGGGGUCUUCCACCUCCUUCCAUGAGCAGUCAUGCCUACCGCACAGUCUCGCGCCUUUUGAGGCAUCAGCAACGCAUCCCAUCCCUCUCCCACAACACCGCAACACAAGUCCGCUGCUGCUGCUGCUGCUGCUGCUGCUGCUUCUCAACCACAUGCCCACGAGCAAGAACACUCGCUGCCUCGUGUGCUCCCACCCUUUCACCCUCCCAACCUCCCACUCUCCCACCCUCGCUCGCCACGCAUGCGUGCAGGCGUGUGUGGGUGUGGACCUGUUGGUGCUGGAGGGCAUGGGUCGCGCCGUGCACACCAACUUCAAGGCCCGCUUCACCUGCGACGUCCUCAAACUGGCCAUGAUCAAGACCGAGCGACUGGCGCAAAAGCUGUUCGGGGGCAACCUGUACGACUGCGUGUGUGUGUUUGACACGGGCGUGGCGCCGGGGCCCGGGCCGGUCAGCCCCGACCCCACCGCCGCUUAGGUUGGGCGGGGGGUUGGGGAUUAACUUUGAACCCAUCCCGGGGGGUUGGGGAGCAGAUGGAGGGGGCAUGCAUGGGGCAAGGUGCCAGGUGUGGCUUGGGAGCUGAAAGAGUUUGGCUGGUCGGUCAAAUUGAGGCUGGGGUUGAUUGCGACGUCGUGUGUGCGUUUGGAUGUUGGUGAGUGGUCAUGAUGUGGCAGUAGCUCCGGUUGAGUUGAAUGGACGGGUGGGGGUGGGGGCGGAGAAACGCUGUACGGCGCUCAGCGCUGUUAGCGUACGUGCGGAAUUUGGAUGGCAUACGUGCUGGCCUGCUUUGCCAGCUACGCUGCCCGACUUCACCGUGCAUCGUACAUGCAUGAGAUAGGGACAGAUGUUUGUUACGCUACAGCUCUCGCUCCCUGCCUCCUGUAGUCACAAUACUGUGGCUGACUGCUGCAACAAACACGCUUUCCCGCCGCCUUGCGGCGGCGCCGGGCUCCUAGCGCCUACCGUGGAGACCCAACUUGACCCACUCACUUAAACCGCACAACGUUGCCUUGUGCUUCAGCUCCCAGAUGCCGGCUAAAGGAGCUUGCUUCAGGCGACAGCCAGCUGUCCGCCGUCGGACCGAAGUCCGUCAGUUCCAGCGCAUGCAACCCUGGCACGCGCGGGAAGGUGCCCUGGUCACAGCCUUACUCCGCUUACAGUCUAGUCUUGAUAUUUUGUAUAGUUUUACCUGUCAAGAAUGCCCUCAAGUAGCCCCGGAACGACCGGGAGCGACCGCUUUAUGCGAAUGCCGCGCGGUGAUAGUGGCAGCGAGUCUCUCAUUGCCUCGACAACACGAAGACUCUCGCGUAUAC